rnacentral:misc_RNA from 1 species
UAAAAAAAGAAAAAACCAAAAAUAUCGAAUUUGCUCUAAUGCUACAGAGUACACAGACAGAUCUCCCGGUAGGAGAGCAUUAUUUAUUUAACAAGAAAGUAUACUUGUAAAAGGUGUGUUACAUAGCAGAAACCGAAGGAAACUUUGAGUAGGUUGCAGUAUCGUGUACAAGUUUGCCAUUAGCAGCUGCAAUUUCACGAGAAUAGGUGCUAGCUUCACCAUUAUACGAAUAACUCUGUUCCGUCGUUGCUCCACCUUGUAGAACAAUGCGAUCUUUAACAGACAUCCACCCUUUGCAUUUUUGCCCAUUUUUCAAACGGCUUGAGUAAGAAUGUGAAUGUCCGUUACUCCAAUUCUUCUCCUCAUUCCGUUCAUGUUCUAAUUCAGAAUGCAUGAUGAUUGUACCAUCUUCUCUUGAUGGCUUCCAAGUCUUGGUGGUUAUAGUUAGAGGAUAUUCCCGCUUCAUACUUGUAUGAGAAAUCUUCGUACCUGUUUCAGAGACUACACUUAUUUCAAUCUCUUCUUCCACUUUUUGCUCUACUUUUUUUUCAGUUCCCUUGUUAUCAAACUUUAUCUCGUUCUUGAACUUGAGUUCUCGUGAAAUUUUAGUUGUCAAAUUGCCUGCUGACGAAUUCACCCACCCGUCAUACUUGCUCUUCCUCUUCAACUCAACUUCAUAUGAUCCAUCCAGCCCCUUAAAGCUUGAAGACCGCUCCAUCUCGUAAUCUGGAAUUCCAUAGUCAACAACUUCACCCUGCACUUCACAAUCACUAGUGCAUUGUUUAUCUAUCCAAAGGUGCAUAUUCGCAUCCAGAAGCCAGAAAGGGAGACUAUCCAGCACCUUAAACCCCAUAAAAUGGGAUUUACCAUCAAGUAAAUCCCCCAAAAAUGGUGUUAUAUCGAUGUCGUAAGAAGGAUGAUCAAAAGCCCCAAUUGAAACAAUUGGAUCCCAGUAAAGGGGAUUAAUUCCACCUGGGUAAAUUACAGGAAAUGGAACCACAGAUCCUACCAAAUUCCUGUCGAUAUUCAACAAAACUUCCCUGUACGAUCCAUGGCCUCUCUGGCUAGUCAAAUUAUUUGCCCGUAUGUAAGAAUCAGGGGGAUUUGAGUACCAAAACUCAUCCAAUCCAUGAAAUGACACGCAAAUUUCCAUGACAGCUCUGUAGGUGUUCUUCGGUAUGAUAACACUCUUCCCCUUCAAUUCCGAAUCACUCCGAAUUCGAAACCAAAAUCCUUCACCUCUAUUAUAACCCGAAAUCGGAAUUAUCAAAUCUGCUGGUUUUUCGUACAAACUCAUUGAAUUAUCCACAAACACAUCAUCUACCAUUCUCACUUUCCGAUUGUUUCUAGUAGCUGAUAACGGCACAUUCAUUUCCUCAAUAUAAUAGUAUAAGAUAGUAAGAUUAACAUAAUAAGCACCUGUAUAAACAUCGUUGACAAUAUUUUCCAGCAUCACAGAAAGAGAAAUAUCCUGUUUGGCAAGGAGGGACGAGUACCUGGUAACAUCCUUAGUAACAGUCCAGAAACCACCGCUUUCAGUAGGCUCCGCGGUGCUGGUACGUAAGAGAUCGGCACCGUCAAGCCAAACGGCAGCGAUACGAUCAUACUGUACUCCGUUAGAAGAGGCGUUGAAUUGAAGAGCAACAUGGUUCCAAGAGCAAUUCUCCGGCGGCGCGUAAGCGACGGAGACAGGUGGAAGACCGAUAGUAUCUCCGAAGUGAUGAGAGAGAAUUGGAAGAGUGCAGGAAGGAGUGAGAUUAGCGAAAGGCAAAGGACGAUUUAUUUCUAAGUAUUUUUGUUGAAAGUAACCAUGUCUGAUGAAGUGAGAAGGGUGCUGAAGGGAAGAACAAAUUGGAGCAUUAAUAAAAUUGAUUAUUAUUACAAUUAGGAAGAAGAACAGUUGGAGAUUUGACAUGAUUUUAGAUGGAAGAGAAUUAAUUAAUUAUGAAAAAACUGGAAGUAGCUUAUCCUUCUAACGACAAGUUUGAACAAAGGCAAGUCGAUAGAAUCG